GCGGGCGUAGUUUACCGGUAAAAUGUCUCCUUGCCAAGGAGAAGACAGAGGGUUCAAUUCCCUUCGCCCGCUCAA
rnacentral:tRNA from 2 species